AGUGAACGCUGGCGGUAGGCCUAACACAUGCAAGUCGAACGGCAGCACAGGAGAGCUUGCUCUCUGGGUGGCGAGUGGCGGACGGGUGAGGAAUACAUCGGAAUCUACCUUUUCGUGGGGGAUAACGUAGGGAAACUUACGCUAAUACCGCAUACGACCUUCGGGUGAAAGCAGGGGACCUUCGGGCCUUGCGCGGAUAGAUGAGCCGAUGUCGGAUUAGCUAGUUGGCGGGGUAAAGGCCCACCAAGGCGACGAUCCGUAGCUGGUCUGAGAGGAUGAGCAGCCAAACUGGAACUGAGACACGGUCCAGACUCCUACGGGAGGCAGCAGUGGGGAAUAUUGGACAAUGGGCGCAAGCCUGAUCCAGCCAUACCGCGUGGGUGAAGAAGGCCUUCGGGUUGUAAAGCCCUUUUGUUGGGAAAGAAAAGCAGCCAGUUAAUACCUGGUUGUUCUGACGGUACCCAAAGAAUAAGCACCGGCUAACUUCGUGCCAGCCGCCGCAGUAA
rnacentral:rRNA from 1 species